rnacentral:rRNA from 1 species
AUUGAACGCUGGCGGCAUGCCUUACACAUGCAAGUCGAACGGUAACGCGGGGCAACCUGGCGACGAGUGGCGAACGGGUGAGUAACGCAUCGGAACGUGCCCAGUAGUGGGGGAUAGUCCGGCGAAAGCCGGAUUAAUACCGCAUACGACCUACGGGUGAAAGCGGGGGACCGUAAGGCCUCGCGCUAUUGGAGCGGCCGAUGUCAGAUUAGGUAGUUGGUGGGGUAAAGGCCUACCAAGCCGACGAUCUGUAGCUGGUCUGAGAGGACGACCAGCCACACUGGGACUGAGACACGGCCCAGACUCCUACGGGAGGCAGCAGUGGGGAAUUUUGGACAAUGGGCGCAAGCCUGAUCCAGCCAUGCCGCGUGCGGGAAGAAGGCCUUCGGGUUGUAAACCGCUUUUGUCAGGGAAGAAACGCCCCUGUCUAAUACAUGGGGGUAAUGACGGUACCUGGAGAAUAAGCACCGGCUAACUACGUGCCAGCCGCCGCGGUAA